GAUGAACGCUGGCGGCGUGCCUAAUACAUGCAAGUCGAGCGAACAGAUGAGGAGCUUGCUCCUCUGACGUUAGCGGCGGACGGGUGAGUAACACGUGGAUAACCUACCUAUAAGACUGGGAUAACUUCGGGAAACCGGAGCUAAUACCGGAUAAUAUAUUGAACCGCAUGGUUCAAUAGUGAAAGACGGUUUUGCUGUCACUUAUAGAUGGAUCCGCGCCGCAUUAGCUAGUUGGUAAGGUAACGGCUUACCAAGGCAACGAUGCGUAGCCGACCUGAGAGGGUGAGCAGCCACACUGGAACUGAGACACGGCCCAGACUCCUACGGGAGGCAGCAGUAGGGAAUCUUCCACAAUGGGCGAAAGCCUGACGGAGCAACGCCGCGUGAGUGAUGAAGGUCUUCGGAUCGUAAAACUCUGUUAUUAGGGAAGAACAAAUGUGUAAGUAACUAUGCACGUCUUGACGGUACCUAAUCAGAAAGCCACGGCUAACUACGUG
rnacentral:rRNA from 1 species